UGGGGAAUAUUGCACAAUGGGGCGCAAGCCUGAUGCAGCAACGCCACGUGAGGGAAGACGGUCUUCGGAUUGUAAACCUUUGUCUUUGGUGAAGAAGCAAUGACGGUAGCCAAGGAGGAAGCCACGGCUAACUACGUGCCAGCAGCCGCGGUAAUACGUAGGUGGCAAGCGUUGUCCGGAAUUACUGGGUGUAAAGGGAGCGCAGGCGGGACAGCAAGUUGGAUGUGAAAUACCGAGGCUUAACCACGGAGCUGCAUCCAAAACUGUUGUUCUUGAGUGAAGUAGAGGUAGGUGGAAUUCCGAGUGUAGCGGUGAAAUGCGUAGAUAUUCGGAGGAACACCAGUGGCGAAGGCG
rnacentral:rRNA from 1 species